rnacentral:lncRNA from 1 species
AUGCACUUCCAUUACACAACACCGAUAAUGUGUCAUCUUUGUCUAAAAAGUAAACCCAACGUACAUCUCUCUAUAACGUGUAAUGUUAAUAUUCACUACAAGUCUAAAUCACCUUACCACGAGAACCACAUCACUAAACCAUUCUUUAGCACCACCACGAUCAUCCUAAUUGAACCACCUCAUCAAUAACAACGAAACACAUGUACACAUAAAUCGACUUUAACGUUACACCCUUCAUCGCAAAUUUAAACCCAACAGAAUCCAUGAACCACAAAAAACCAUGAAACUCCUCUAACGCGCAAAUAGUCUUCGCACCAGACCUCCACGUAUUAACUCGUUGUCAACCACCGCGAACGAGACACCUAUAACAAGUCACUAGCCCAACCAAACCCAAAACUCACUUACACCAUAAGCAAACAUGUGUCCAUCACGCCACCACCACAUAUCUCCUCCACAAAACCCCAAUUAUGCCUCCUCCACGCAAAGAUUCUUUACAAAUCAGCCACCAUGAAAGUAGU